CCUCAACUGAUUAUCAUACGCUUGUUGUGGUGUCAAAUGGACAAAUAUAAUUGUUUUCCCAUCCAUGUCAAAGAUGUACCUAUUUCUAAAUCCAUUAUGCUUCACCUUCCUAUCGUAUUGCUAAGGCCUACCCAAUAAUAUAUGCCCCGCAUCCAUAGGCACAACAUCACAUAACACUUCAUCCUUAUACCUCCCAAUUGACAAAUUCAAUAGCACCCUCUUGUUCACCUUAACCUCUCCAUGAUCAUCCAACCAGUGUAAUCUAUAUGAUUUUGGGUGUUUAAUUGUUCUUAAACCUAACUUCUCGAUUAAUGUGGUACUAGCUAAAUUUGUGCAACAACCUCCGUCAAUUAUUAAAUUACAUACCUUGUUUUCCCCGUGGCAUCGUGUGUGAAAAAUAUUCUCCCGAUGUUGCUCCUCUUCAUCCACCUUGAUUUGCGAAUUGAGUGCACGCAUCACCACCAAUGCAUCCCCUUCAACCGGAUACUCCACCCCGUCAUCAUCACUAACAUCUUCUAACUUGGGCAUUCCAUCUUCAUCAUUGUGUCACUUACCACUUCCCCAUUGUCUUUCAAAAUCAUGGCUCUUUUGUUUGGACACUGAGAAGAAAUGUGUCCUGUCCCCCAAGCACUUGAAGCACUUAAUGUCCCGAUUCCUAGGUUGCUGUGGUUUCGCCUUUGGUGCAACCUUGCCAGCGUUAUCCUUUUCUCUAGGUGGUUCAAUUUUAUUGUUGACAACAGUCCCAUCAACCUUCUCUUCAUCUCACCUAGACCUCCAAGAUGAAUUAGGCCCCUGUUGAUUCCUAGCUACCCUUUUUCUCUUCAACUGCCUCUUAACCAUCAUUGCUACAUGCAACAUAUCCUCUAGUUCCACGUAAUGCUGCAAUUCAACAUUGGCGAUGUCCCUGUUCAACCCAUUCAGGAAUCGUGCUAUGUUGGCUUCCCGGUCCUCUUCCACAUUAGCCCGAAUCAUUAGAAUUUUCAUCUUUUUAUGGUAAUCCUCCACACCCCUCGACCUUUGGUACAACCCCAGCAACCUUUGAUGAAACUCCCUAUAAUAGUGAUCAGGCACAAACCGUUUUCUCAUGACCGCUUUCAACUCAUCCUAAGUAGUUAUCGGCCUCUCUCUAUUCCUCCGCCGUGAAGUGACCACCUGAUCCCGCCAAAUGAUAGCGUAAUCAGUGAACUCCAAGACCGCAAGCUUCACUUUCUUCUCCUCCGAGUAGUUGUGGCACUCAAAUAUCAACUCCGCCUUUUUCUCCCACUCAAGAAAUGCCUCUGGGUCACUCCUACCCCGAAAUGUCGAAAUUGACAUUUUAAUGCUACUCAUACCCCCAUCACCGUCGUCUCCCCCAUAGUUUCUGUCAUUUCGUUCAAACGUACCACCUCUAUUCCUC
rnacentral:lncRNA from 1 species